ACGCGUGGAACCUUACCAGGUCUUGACAUCCCAUUGACCGCUAUGGAGACCUAGCUUUCCCUUCGGGGACAGUGGUGACAGGUGGUGCAUGGUUGUCGUCAGCUCGUGUCGUGAGAUGUUGGGUUAAGUCCCGCAACGAGCGCAACCCUUGAUCUUAGUUGCCAGCAUUUAGUUGGGCACUCUAAGGUGACUGCCGGUGACAAACCGGAGGAAGGUGGGGAUGACGUCAAAUCAUCAUGCCCCUUAUGACCUGGGCUACACACGUGCUACAAUGGAUGGUACAAAGGGCAGCGAAGCCGCGAGGUGAAGCGAAUCCCAUAAAACCAUUCUCAGUUCGGAUUGUAGGCUGCAACUCGCCUACAUGAAGCCGGAAUCGCUAGUAAUCGCGGAUCAGCAUGCCGCGGUGAAUACGUUCCCGGGCCUUGCACACACCGCCCGU
rnacentral:rRNA from 1 species